rnacentral:rRNA from 1 species
GAUGAACGCUAGCUACAGGCUUAACACAUGCAAGUCGAGGGGCAGCAUGGUCUUAGCUUUGCUAAGGCCGAUGGCGACCGGCGCACGGGUGAGUAACACGUAUCCAACCUGCCGUCUACUCUUGGACAGCCUUCUGAAAGGAAGAUUAAUACAAGAUGGCAUCAUGAGUCCGCAUGUUCACAUGAUUAAAGGUAUUCCGGUAGACGAUGGGGAUGCGUUCCAUUAGAUAGUAGGCGGGGUAACGGCCCACCUAGUCUUCGAUGGAUAGGGGUUCUGAGAGGAAGGUCCCCCACAUUGGAACUGAGACACGGUCCAAACUCCUACGGGAGGCAGCAGUGAGGAAUAUUGGUCAAUGGGCGAGAGCCUGAACCAGCCAAGUAGCGUGAAGGAUGACUGCCCUAUGGGUUGUAAACUUCUUUUAUAAAGGAAUAAAGUCGGGUAUGCAUACCCGUUUGCAUGUACUUUAUGAAUAAGGAUCGGCUAACUCCGUGCCAGCAGCCGCGGUAAUACGGAGGAUCCGAGCGUUAUCCGGAUUUAUUGGGUUUAAAGGGAGCGUAGAUGGAUGUUUAAGUCAGUUGUGAAAGUUUGCGGCUCAACCGUAAAAUUGCAGUUGAUACUGGAUAUCUUGAGUGCAGUUGAGGCAGGCGGAAUUCGUGGUGUAGCGGUGAAAUGCUUAGAUAUCACGAAGAACUCCGAUUGCGAAGGCAGCCUGCUAAGCUGCAACUGACAUUGAGGCUCGAAAGUGUGGGUAUCAAACAGGAUUAGAUACCCUGGUAGUCCACACGGUAAACGAUGAAUACUCGCUGUUUGCGAUAUACAGCAAGCGGCCAAGCGAAAGCGUUAAGUAUUCCACCUGGGGAGUACGCCGGCAACGGUGAAACUCAAAGGAAUUGACGGGGGCCCGCACAAGCGGAGGAACAUGUGGUUUAAUUCGAUGAUACGCGAGGAACCUUACCCGGGCUUAAAUUGCAGAUGAAUUACGGUGAAAGCCGUAAGCCGCAAGGCAUCUGUGAAGGUGCUGCAUGGUUGUCGUCAGCUCGUGCCGUGAGGUGUCGGCUUAAGUGCCAUAACGAGCGCAACCCUUGUUGUCAGUUACUAACAGGUUCCGCUGAGGACUCUGACAAGACUGCCAUCGUAAGAUGUGAGGAAGGUGGGGAUGACGUCAAAUCAGCACGGCCCUUACGUCCGGGGCUACACACGUGUUACAAUGGGGGGUACAGAGGGCCGCUACCACGCGAGUGGAUGCCAAUCCCCAAAACCUCUCUCAGUUCGGACUGGAGUCUGCAACCCGACUCCACGAAGCUGGAUUCGCUAGUAAUCGCGCAUCAGCCACGGCGCGGUGAAUACGUUCCCGGGCCU